rnacentral:SRP_RNA from 2 species
GCCGGGCGUGGUGGCGCAUGCCUGUAAUCCCAGCUGCUUGGGAGGCUGAGGCAGGAGAAUUGCUUGAACGUGGGAGUUGGAGGUUGCGGUGAGCCGAGAUCAUGCCAUUGCACUCCAUCCUGGGCCACAAGAGCGAAACUCUGUCUCAAAAAUAAAUAAAUUAAUUAAAUAAAAUAAAUAAAAAUAAAUAAAAACUGGUUGAAUGCAGGCAUUUCAUGUGGUUCAAUCUUUUUUCUUUCUAUUUUUUGGAACAAGGUCUUGCUCUGUCGCCCAGGCUGGAGUGCAGUGGUGUGAUCUCAGCCCACUGCAACCUCCACCUCCCAGGUUCAAGCCAUUCUCCUGCCUUAG